UAAGAUUAAGAUGACAACUCUAGAGCUAGAGCCUUCCCCUUCGGGGGACAAAGUGACAGGUGGUGCAUGGUUGUCGUCUGCUCGUGUCGUGAGAUGUUGGGUUAAGUCCCGCAACGAGCGCAACCCUUAAGAUUAGUUGCCAUCAUUUUGUUGGUCAAUCUAAGUUGACUGCCGGUGACAAACCGGAGGAAGGUGGGGAUGAGGUCAAUUCAUCAUGCC
rnacentral:rRNA from 1 species